rnacentral:rRNA from 1 species
UCAAGCUAAUAAGAGCAUAGGGUGGAUGCCUUGGCACUAGGAGCCGAAGAAGGUCGCGAUAAGCUGCGAAAAGCUUUGGGUAGGCGCAAAUAGCCGAUGAUCCAGAGAUUACCGAAUGGGGAAACCUGGCUGGGAAGAUCCCAGUCACUGCAUGGUGAAUACAUAGCCAUGCAGGGGGAACUCGGGGAACUGAAACAUCUAAGUACCCGAAGGAAGAGAAAGAAACAUCGAUUACCUAAGUAGCGGCGAGCGAAAGGGUAAGAGGCCAAACCAAAGGACCUAGUCCUUUGGGGUUGUGGACUGCAAACGGUAUUAAGAAGAUUUAACCGAAGUGUUUUGGAAAAGCACGUCAAAGAGGGUGAAAACCCCGUAGGUGAAAAGUCGACUUAGCCAGCAGGAUCCAGAGUAGCACGAGACACGUGGAACCUUGUGUGAAGCAGGGGGGACCACCCCCCAAGCCUAAAUACUACCUAGUGACCGAUAGCGCAUAGUACUGUGAAGGAAAGGUGAAAAGAACCCCGGGAGGGGAGUGAAAAAGAACCUGAAACCCUAUGUUUACAAGCAGUGGAAGCACGUUAAGGUGCGACCGCGUACUUUUGUAGAACGGUCCAGCGAGUUACUUAUACUGGCAAGGUUAAUGACUUAAGGUCAGGAGCCGAAGGGAAGCCAAGUCUUAAUAGGGCGUUAAGUCAGUGUGAGUAGACCCGAAACCGGGUGACCUAUCCAUGGGCAGGUUGAAGUUACCGUAAAAGGUAAUGGAGGACCGAACCCACGCAUGUUGAAAAAUGCGGGGAUGACCUGUGGAUAGCGGAGAAAUUCCAAUCGAACCCGGAGAUAGCUGGUUCUCCUCGAAAUAGCUUUAGGGCUAGCCUUGAAAUAGUCUAAUGGAGGUAGAGCACUGAAUUGCCUAGGGGGCCUCACAGCCUACCGAAGCAUAUCAAACUCCGAAUGCCAUAUAGAUGUUUUUCAGGAGUCAGACUAUGGGAGAUAAGUUUCAUAGUCAAAAGGGAAAGAGCCCAGACCACCAGCUAAGGUCCCAAAGUGUGCAUUAAGUGGAAAAGGAUGUGAGAUUUCACAGACAACUAGGAUGUUGGCUUAGAAGCAGCCAUGCAUUCAAAGAGUGCGUAAUAGCUCACUAGUCGAGAGAUCUUGCGCCGAAAAUGUCCGGGGCUAAAAUGCACCACCGAAGUUGUGGAAAGCACUUAUUUAGAUAAGUGUUUUGGUAGAGGAGCAUUCUUAACACGACGAAGCUGUACCGUAAGGAGCAGUGGAGAGUUAAGAAGAGAGAAUGCUGGAAUGAGUAGCGAGAGAGAAGUGAGAAUCUUCUCGGCCGAAUAUCUAAGGUUUCCAAAGUAAAGCUGAUCUUCUUUGGGUAAGUCGGGACCUAAGGUGAGGGCGAAAGCCGUAGCCGAUGGACAACUAGUUGAAAUUCUAGUACUACGUAUGAACAGAACUGUGGGGACACAGAAGGAUAGGGAAAUCUGGGAAUGGAAAAACCAGUGCAAGCACAAAGCUUGGUUGAUAGGCAAAUCCGUCAACUAAAAGGCGAAGUGUGAUGCGGAUCGAAAUUAAAGUAGAGAAGUUCCUAAAUCCAUACUGUCAAGAAAAGCCGCUAUUGCUUCAUACGUACCCGUACCGCAAACCGACACAGGUAGAUGAGGAGAGAAUCCUAAGGCCGACGGGAGAAGCGUUGUUAAGGAACUCGGCAAAAUGACCCCGUAACUUCGGGAGAAGGGGUGCCUACGCAAGUAGGCCGCAGAGAAUAGGCUCAAGCGACUGUUUAGCAAAACACAGGUUUAUGCAAAACCGAAAGGUGAAGUAUAUGAGCUGACGCCUGCCCGGUGCUGGAAGGUUAAGGGAGUGCUUAGACUUUAGUCGAAGGUGCGAACUUAAGCCCCAGUAAACGGCGGCCGUAACUAUAACGGUCCUAAGGUAGCGAAAUUCCUUGUCGGGUAAGUUCCGACCCGCACGAAAGGCGUAACGAUUUGGGCACUGUCUCGACAACGCGCCCGGUGAAAUUGUAGUACCGGUGAAGAUGCCGGUUACCCGCGACAGGACGGAAAGACCCCGUGGAGCUUUACUCUAGCUUGAUACUGGGAUUCGAUAUUACAUGUACAGGAUAGAAGGGAGACUUUGAACUAUGGACGCCAGUCUGUAGUGAGUCGUUGUUGGGAUACCUUCCUUGUAGUAUUGGGUUUCUAACCUAGCACCAUUAUCUGGUGUGGGGACAAUGUCAGGUGGGGAGUUUGACUGGGGCGGUCGCCUCCGAAAGUGUAUCGGAGGCGCUCAAAGUUCAUCUCAGAAUGGUUGGAAACCAUUCGAAGAGUGCAAAGGCAUAAGAUGGAUUGACUGUGACACCGACGGGUGGAGCAGGUAGGAAACUAGGACUUAGUGAUCCGGUGGUAUGAAUGUGGGAUUGCCAUCGCUCAACGGAUAAAAGCUACCCCGGGGAUAACAGGCUUAUCACUCCCAAGAGUUCACAUCGACGGAGUGGUUUGGCACCUCGAUGUCGGCUCAUCGCAUCCUGGGGCUGUAUUCGGUCCCAAGGGUUGGGCUGUUCGCCCAUUAAAGCGGUACGCGAGCUGGGUUCAGAACGUCGUGAGACAGUUCGGUCCCUAUCCGUCGUGGGCGCAAGAUAUUUGAGAGGAGCUGUCCUUAGUACGAGAGGACCGGGAUGGACUGACCUCUGGUGUAUCUGUUGUCUUACCAAAGGCAUAGCAGAGUAGCCAUGUUGGGAAGGGAUAAACGCUGAAGGCAUCUAAGCGUGAAGCCCCCCUCGAGAUAAGAUAUCUCAUCCAGAAAUGGAGUAAGACCCUGGAAGACUACCAGGUUGAUAGGUUAGGGUGUAAGCACGGUAACGUGUUCAGCUGACUAAUACUAAUAGGUCGAGGGCUUGAACUA